rnacentral:rRNA from 1 species
GUGGGGAAUCUUCCACAAUGGACGAAAGUCUGAUGGAGCAACGCCGCGUGAGUGAAGAAGGGUUUCGGCUCGUAAAGCUCUGUUGUCGGGGACGAACGUGAGAUACUUGAAUAAAGUGUCUUAAUGACGGUACCUGACGAGGAGGCCACGGCUAACUACGUGCCAGCAGCCGCGGUAAUACGUAGGUGGCAAGCGUUGUCCGGAAUUAUUGGGCGUACAGGGAGCGCAGGCGGGAAGGUAAGUCGGUCUUAAAAGUGCGGGGCUCAACCCCGUGAUGGGAUCGAAACUAUCUUUCUUGAGUGCAGGAGAGGAAAGUGGAAUUCCUAGUGUAGCGGUGAAAUGCGUAGAUAUUAGGAGGAACACCAGUGGCGAAGGCGACUUUCUGGACUGUAACUGACGCUGAGGCUCGAAAGCCAGGGGAGCGAACGGGAUUAGAUACCCGGGUAGUCC